rnacentral:rRNA from 1 species
CUCCAGACUCCUACGGGAGGCAGCAGUGGGGAAUAUUGCACAAUGGGGGAAACCCUGAUGCAGCGACGCCGCGUGAGCGAUGAAGUAUUUCGGUAUGUAAAGCUCUAUCAGCAGGGAAGAAGAUGACGGUACCUGACUAAGAAGCCCCGGCUAACUACGUGCCAGCAGCCGCGGUAAUACGUAGGGGGCAAGCGUUAUCCGGAUUUACUGGGUGUAAAGGGAGCGUAGACGGCGAUGCAAGCCAGAUGUGAAAGCCCGGGGCUCAACCCCGGGACUGCAUUUGGAACUGUGUGGCUGGAGUGUCGGAGAGGCAGGCGGAAUUCCUAGUGUAGCGGUGAAAUGCGUAGAUAUUAGGAGGAGCACCAGUGGCGAAGGCGGCCUGCUGGACGAUGACUGACGUUGAGGCUCGAAAGCGUGGGGAGCAAACAGGAUUAGAUACCCGUGUA